CGUCUAUGUGUGCAGGUGUCUUCAAAAUACAGAAGAUGUCAGUUCCCCUUGAGCUGGAGUUACAGGCAGUUGUAAGCUUCUGCUGUUGGUGCUAAGAAGGAAAUCUGGGUCCUCUAGAAGAGCAGCUCGUAACUGCUAAGCCGUAUCUCCAGUCCCCAGAACACGCAAUUAUUACAGUUACAAGCAAUAUUUGAUACUUCCACUGUUAAAAAGUACUCCAGAGCAAAAGAUGAAUGGGUGGAAGUCGAAGAGAUCACAUUGAGAGAGAUAAUCCCGAUCCAGAAAGGCCAGGAUCUCAUUUGCUCUCAUCUUUGACUCCUAGUUGCAAAACUUCAAGUGAUGAUGGUGUACAUCUACAGUUCAAGCUGUAUCAGAGGUUGACAGAGGAUAACACAGUUGCGGCCAGUUUGGACAACUUGAAUUAAUCAUCAAAGGACUCCGAAGUGGAUGGAUGAAAUUGUCAGUUCAAGGAAAUGAAGACACCACCACUGAAAGCCUUCAGCGAUUGCUUCAUAUACAUGUUUACUUCUGACUAGAAGGUGAAAAAAAUCAUUUCUUUGGAACGAAGCUAGCCAUUUCUGUGUAUCCCAGUCUGUAACAGUAAGUUGUUUUUUCUAGUACUUUCUGUUUUGUUUCACGCUUGGGAAAUUCAAUGCUGGGAGACUUUGUUUUUAUUUUGCAUGUCCUUUGUUCCUCAGAAUAUCUCUAUGGUAAUUUUAAAUUAGAAAGCCAGUUUAAGUAUAAUUAUACUUAAAUUACAAUUGAUAACUUGAGAAGUGAGAUAUUUUGUUUGCCUCAGUAUAACACAUUAUAUGGCAUUAUUCAUACAGUAUACAUAUUAAAUGUAUGUUUUUUAAAUCACAUUUAUAUAACCUUUAGUGUCAGGGUAAUAAAUACUAAUAGACUAAUAAAGGUCUUCUCUAGGCUGGGAUUUUGUUGGUGGUGCUAAUAAAUAAAUUACACAAUGUUUGUGGUAGUCACAAAUCUCACACAUUCACUUCCCAAACAGUUUUAAAGUAGGUCAUCGAGUCACCAGAAAGGAGAAUGCUCUGUUUUAGGCCAUCACUAAGGGACCCAAACUUCUUCCGUCCUACGGCUUUACUAUCUUCUUGAGCCUGGAAUCCUUUGGUUACAUAAGUUGUGUCUGGUUAGAUAUCUGAAAGGGAUGUUGGACAGUCUUGUGGACAGUUUUAAGGGCUAGUUCUAGCAAAUACCACCACUGGCCUGUGGCCUCUAACCAGAACUCAGGUGUUGAGUGGAAACUACAGUAGCGCCUAGGGAAUGUAGUUUCCUUGUGAUUCCGGAGGAAAAUGAAGAGUUUGCUGUAGAACUCUCUCUGCCACAGGAAGGCUUUUUUAUUUGUCUCACUGCAUAUCUGUGAAGCUUUUAAAGGCAAUGGCACCAAAACAGGAUAAACUACGAGCCUGGAUGCACUACCUCACUUUCCCUGUUUUUCAUGUUCACUAGAAGUUGACCACAAUAGAUAGGUACACUUUGGAAAGCUAUUUUGAGCUAAGAAAUGAAGUAGAAAAAUGAUGUAACUCACUAGAAAUGGACGAUUGAUCAUAAGCCCCUAAGUGGACUACCAUAUUUUGAUAUCAACUUAUGGAACAACUUAUAUCUUAGCUAUAUCCCUGUAUUUCCCUGCCUGUCUUUAGAAUAGCAGCACAAAAAUAGAUGAUUUUCUAAUAACCAAAAAAAUCAUUCUUAUAGAAUACUAAUUAUUAUUUAAUCUAAAGAGGAUUCCUGGGCUGAGAUAUGAUAUAUGACUUUAUUUAAUUGAAAAGAAUUAUUUGAUUAUAUACCUUAUAUCAUUUUACCUACUCAUUUGAAUGUCCAAGUGCACAUAAAAUAGUUAUUACACUUCCAAACUAUACUUUCCUGUCUAUUUUCCAUAGCAUGCACAACUUAGCCAAUCUUAGACAAAUUCCAUGGACUUGUUUUUACCUUUACCAUUUUUCAGAAGGAUGAGAAGAAUGAUAACUGCUAAUGAAAAAGGCUAAAAUUGUACUUUAUUAUUAUGAAGUAGAUGGUGUAAAAUAAUAUAUAAUAUCUAUCACUUUUACAUGCCUUGUAACUCACUAUUAGCCAGGUAUUAACUCAUUGGAUCCUACUUAAAAAUUACUAGUAUUAAUAUUAAGGAUACAUGCCAGUGAUUUCUUACCACAUGCCAAGCAUUCUUGUUAGCAAGGUUCUACAUAUCCCUCAAAGUUUAUGUUUUGGAAAUUUAAAUCCUUAGUGCAUAAGUGUUAAGAGAUGAGAGACUUUUAUGAGUUGAUUAAAACUCCAGUGAAUCUCCUAAUAUCAGAUUGCAGGAGUGGUUUAGUCAUUGUGGAGAUGGGUUCCAGAAAAAGGUGAUGAACUUCGUUCCUUCUUACUUUCUCUCCUGUUUUUUUCUUUCACUAUAUGCUACUCUUUGUGGCCUUAUGAUAUAAUAAGAAGUCCCAUGGCAGAUAUGGUUCCCCAGUUUUUGAAAAUUUCAGCUUGCAAAACUGUGAGCUAAAUAUCUGCCCAUUGCGGAGAAAUUUCUUGGUCUCGAGUACCCUGUUAUAAUAGACUAAAGCAGUGAGCAUUUUUGGCAUUUUCAUUUUGUAAAUAAGGCAUUAGAGAGAUCAUGGAAUGUUUAUAAAAAUGUUCACAGUGUUUUGGCACAGGGCAUUUGGACCUAGGUACUCUGACUCCAGAGUUCAUGUUUGUAAUCACCAAGACACAGUGCAAAUCCCUCAUUGUAAAUAAAAAAUGGUCUAUACCUGCAGGUGGGAUGAACAGCUGUGCAAUAUAAUGAAUCUUAAUGAAUUAUGUGCUUAGAGUCACUGAAUCUUAAAAAGAAAAUUAUUGUCCCUGAUUCUGCAUCUAGCCUGCCGCCUCCUUUUCUCCUCUCCCAUCCUUUCCUACUUCUCCACCAUUUGGCUAAAACAGUCUCAUAUAUAAUCAUGGUAGUAAGUGACAAUUCCUCAUAUUUGGCAAAUUAUGCUAAUUGCAAACAAGGUACAGCCUUCACAUAAGGGGAAGAUACUUCACAAUGGAGUGGGCCACUUAGAAUCUGGACACUAUAGGAUUUAAUAUUUAUGGUACUUCCAAAAUAAUAGGACAGUAAUAGUGAAAAAAUUAGCAGUGCUGAUGUUCCAGAAGUUAUAAAAUGAUAGCACAAGAGCUCUCUGCUCCCAAACCCCGUGGGAGAGAGACCUCACCGCCUGAUCAGUUGGGCACUCCUGAGGCUGCAGAGCGGAGGAGACCACCAACACUGCCCACCCCUGCCCACAUCCCUGGCCCAAGAGGCAACUGUAUAAGGCCUCUGGGUUCCCGUAGGGGAGGGCCCGGGAGCGGCAGGACCCCUGCGCCUGAGACACUGCCGGAACCUGAAGGAAACAGACCGGAUAAACAGUUCUCUGCACCCAAAUCCCGAGGGAGGGAGAGCUGAACCUUCAGAGAGGCGGACACGCCUGGGAAACCAGAAGAGACUGCACUCUGUGCACAUCCAGGCGCCAGAGGAAAACACCAAACGCCAUCUGGAACCCUGGUGCACGGAGGCUCCCGGAAAGAGCGGCGCAGAUCUUCCCGGUUGCUGCCACAGCGGAGAGGACUUAGGCAGUACCCCACGAGCAAACUUGAGCCUUGGAACUGCAGGUAGGACCAACUUUUCCCUUGCAACUCAGGACACACAGAGGCAAAAUUCCUCUAAGGCCGGGCACUUCCUGUGUUUAUCGGAAGUCCCACACCAGCAGAUCCCGGACCGCAGCAGCUCUCUGCUCCCAAACCCCGUGGGAGAGAGACCCCACCGCCUGAUCAGGUGGGCACUCCUGAGGCUGCAGAGCGGAGGAGACCACCAACACUGCCCACCCCUGCCCACAUCCCUGGCCCAAGAGGCAACUGUAUAAGGCCUCUGGGUUCCCGUAGGGGACGGCCCGGGAGCGGCAGGACCCCUGCGCCUGAGACACUGCCGGAACCUGAAGGAAACAGACCGGAUAAACAGUUCUCUGCACCCAAAUCCCGUGGGAGGGAGAGCUGAACCUUCAGAGAGGUGGACACGCCUGGGAAACCAGAAGAGACUGCACUCUGUGCACAUCCAGGCGCCAGAGGAAAACACCGAACGUCAUCUGAAACCCUGGUGCACGGAGGCUCCCGGAAGGAGCGGCACAGAUUUUCCCGGUUGCUGCCACAGCAGAGAGGACUUAGGCAGUACCCCACGAGCAAACUUGAGCCUUGGAACCACAGGUAGGACCAAUUUUUCCCCUGCAAGAAACCUGCCUGGUGAACUCAAGACACAGGCCCACAGGAACAGCUGAAGACCUGUAGAGAGGAAAAACUACACGCCCGAAAGCAGAACACUCUGUCCCCAUAACUGGCUGAAAGAAAACAGGAAAACAGGUCUACAGCACUCCUGACACACAGGUUAUAGGACAGUCUAGCCACAGUCAGAAAUAGCAGAACAAAGUAACACUAGAGAUAAUCUGAUGGCGAGAGGCAAGCACAGGAACCCAAGCAACAGAAACCAAGACUACAUGGCAUCAUCGGAGCCCAAUCCUCCCACCAAAGCAAACACGGAAUAUCCAAACACACCAGAAAAGCAAGACCUAGUUUCAAAAUCAUAUUUGAUCAUGAUUCUGGAGGACUUCAAGAAAGACAUGAAGAACUCCCUUAGAGAACAAGUAGAAGCCUACAGAGAGGAAUCGCAAAAAUCCCUGAAAGAAUUCCAGGAAAACACAAUCAAACAGUUGAAGGAAUUAAAAAUGGAAAUAGAAGCAAUCAAGAAAGAACACAUGGAAACAACCCUGGACAUAGAAAAUCAAAAGAAAAGACAAGGAGCUGUAGAUACAAGCUUCACCAACAGAAUUCAAGAGAUGGAAGAGAGAAUCUCGGGAGCAGAAGAUUCCAUAGAAAUCAUUGACUCAACUGUCAAAGAUAAUGUAAAGCGGAAAAAGCUACUGGUCCAAAACAUACAGGAAAUCCAGGACUCAAUGAGAAGAUCAAACCUAAGGAUAAUAGGUAUAGAAGAGAGUGAAGACUCCCAGCUCAAAGGACCAGUAAAUAUCUUCAACAAAAUCAUAGAAGAAAACUUCCCUAACCUAAAAAAAGAGAUACCCAUAGGCAUACAAGAAGCCUACAGAACUCCAAAUAGAUUGGACCAGAAAAGAAACACCUCCCGUCACAUAAUUGUCAAAACACCAAACGCACAAAAUAAAGAAAAAAUAUUA